rnacentral:rRNA from 1 species
UGGCGAACGGGUGAGUAACACGUGGGCAACCUGCCCAAAAGAGGGGGAUAACACUUGGAAACAGGUGCUAAUACCGCAUAACCAUAGUUACCGCAUGGUAACUAUGUAAAAGGUGGCUAUGCUACCGCUUUUGGAUGGGCCCGCGGCGCAUUAGCUAGUUGGUGGGGUAAAGGCUUACCAAGGCAAUGAUGCGUAGCCGAACUGAGAGGUUGAUCGGCCACAUUGGGACUGAGACACGGCCCAAACUCCUACGGAAGGCAGCAG